rfam:Camelus ferus unplaced genomic scaffold scaffold6137, whole genome shotgun sequence.
UGUUACUUUCAGGUGUCCAAAAAGUGAUCCAAUAUGUAUGUAUGUAUGUGUAUGUAUGUGUGCGUAUAUAUAUAUAUAUAUAUACGCACACAUACAUACACAUACAUACAUACAUAUUGGAUCACUUUUUGGACACCUGAAAGUAACA